UACGUAGGGUGCGAGCGUUGUCCGGAAUUAUUGGGCGUAAAGCGCGCGCAGGUGGUUUCUUAAGUCUGAUGUGAAAGCCCACGGCUCAACCGUGGAGGGUCAUUGGAAACUGGGAGACUUGAGUGCAGAAGAGGAAAGUGGAAUUCCAUGUGUAGCGGUGAAAUGCGUAGAGAUAUGGAGGAACACCAGUGGCGAAGGCGACUUUCUGGUCUGUAACUGACACUGAGGCGCGAAAGCGUGGGGAGCAAACAGG
rnacentral:rRNA from 1 species